rnacentral:lncRNA from 1 species
AGUAUUGCAUAAUUCAUAGAAUAAUGAUAAUUAAAAUAAUAAAUACUCUUUGGGAGGGCAAUUAUUUUUGUGUGUAUUUGCCUGCAUUUCUUCCUGACACCACCCGAUAUUCGGAUAUUUUACUAAAAGCAGGAUAAUUUAUUCUCAGCUGUUGGGUAAAGAUCAAACAUGAAAUCCGGGCACCAUCAAAGUCAAUGGGAGUUUUACCAUUGAUUUAAGUGCGGCUGGGAUUUCACACAACAUGUAAUAUCAGUUUAAUACUCAGAAUAGAGGAUGUCUGCUCUAGGAGGAUGGAAUCUGGUUCUCGCUUGGGGGAGGCAUAAUGAUGGCCUUUGCCAUCUCUGUGGGCCCGAUUCUUCAAAUUCUAAUAUCAAUGUUAUGUCUUCAUUGGGCAAAUGGCUACAAAAAGCAUAAGGUCUGGCGACCCAGGCCUUUGAACCAGCUCAUCUAUUGCCAUUUUAAAUGUGUUUCCAGUAAGUUAAGUUUAAAGCCAUGCUUAACAAUACAUUUCCUUUGUCACUUUGGAUGAUCCCAGGAAACACACAGAUGUGUGCUUGGGAUCUAUAGGUAGCUGGCUACAAUUCUAUUAAUUCUUAAACCCAGACUUAAAGUAAGACCCCGCUCAGCACAAACAUGUAAAUAUCAUGAUGCAAUCCAUAAGAGGGAAACCUGGUCCCCCCCGCCUUGCCUCAAACCCCUUCAGACUUUGGAUGGGAUGGACAGAGAUAGGGGAUGCAGCAAGAGAAGUUAGAGGUAGAGUUAGGAUAGCGUGUGUGAAUUUUUGUGGGGAGGAGACAAUGGGAGAGGGUUUUAGGGAUGGCGCUAGUAAUAGAUUUUGUGUGUGUGUGUGUGUGUCUGACAUUUGGAUGGUAGGUACAGGAGAGAUGGUGUGAGAUAUUUCAGGGAAGGCAGGAGAAUGUGCAUGAGAUGAAGAUGAGAUGAGUACAGAGAGAGUGGGAAAGGGGAAGGUGAGAGAAAAAUGGAGUGAUAGAGGAUGAGGGGAGAGUGUGAAGGUAUGGAGGCAGGAAUGAGAAAACCACAUAGGAAAGAAAGAGGCAGGUAAUGGAGGAGAAGGGGAGAAAACAGAGGGAACAGGCGCUACAGAAUGUAGCAAAAACAUGGAAGGGACAAUACCCUGUAAAACACUCAGGAAAAGAACAAAUGUGUUCAUUAGAAGGAAGGAAAAAAUAAAAUGAGGGAAGUGAAAAGAAUGAGGGUAGGA